rnacentral:lncRNA from 1 species
GGCGGCUUUUCAAUAGAUCAUAUCGUUUUGUAUCUCCCUUGGUGGCUAAUGAGAGGGAUAAAAUCCACAAGUUUCAACAAGGAUUAAGAGAUGAACUCCGUGAUAUGUUAGUGGUUACCUUAUUUACUGAGUUCAGUCAAGUAUUUUUGGCCGCCAUGAAGUAUGAGGAUAGGCUUUUGGAAUGUGUACAACCAUUGGAGGUGGGUUUCCCCAGCCAGAGUCUUUCCGAGAAGGCUAGUACUAGUUCGAGUUCCGCGGCUUUAAUAUGCACUAGAUCUGAAAAUUCAAGACCCGGCGCACUAAAAAGAAGACGUCGGGGUCGGAAGCGGAGAUUUAUCAAGCGCAAUAUGAAAAAGACCAAUCAGUCUGGGGAGAGUGUUGGCGGUAAUAGUAGAGCUCCUGUUCAGGGAGGCCGUCCACAGUGUCAGAGAUGUGGCAGAUACCAUGAUGGACAGUGCCAAGUAGGACUAGAAAUGAUAGGGAGUUCGGUAUGUUAUCAGUGUGGCCGCCAUGGUCACUACUUGAGGCAGUGCCCUCAACUGGCCUAGGAGCUACUUCAGUGCUGAUCAGAGUGCAUAAGUUAGGCGUCCAGCAGUGACACACAAUACUAGUACAACAUUCCAUGGUUCACAACAAGGCAGAGGGCUGUCUAUGACUCGGAUUAAUUUUGUGAACUAUUAAAUUUAGUAACUAAUUCCAUUGACCGUCACUAGUACCUAAUCCUGUUCAUGAAUCAUGUUUUCCGUUUAUCUUAUUUCGUCAUAUUUAUGUUACAGAAAAAUUCAGCAUCGAUGCUUACAUUUUGGUGCCAAGGUCAAGUUGAUACUCAUACUCGCAACUCUACGAAUAUGAUACUAAACUCAUAUUUUGAUAUUUACAUGAUUCGUUUGUCUAACUUUCGUUGACGUUCUGUUAAAAUGACGAAAGAAACUUUGCUUAGAUCUACAUUUUAAGGGUUCAGGGCCUUUCUAUUGAGGGAUCUCUAUUUUUUGUCAUUUUUAGGGAUAAGCUCACACCAUUAGAUUUGUUAUUUAAUGAGGUUGGAUGGUUGAGAUUAAAACAAAACGUUACACACUUUAUGUCAAACUUUGACCAUUCAUGAUCAUUAAAAAUAAAUCGAAGUUUUGAAUGGGUUACCGAUCACUAAAUUAUCUGAAAAUUUGUAGAAAUGAUCUACUCAUAUAACCCAAUGAAUUGAACAGUGUAGAUGCAAAAAUUUGAUCAGGAAGUUGGUGUAAUGCCCUAUCCCUAGAAAUAGUUAAAAAUAGAGAUCCCUCAAUAGAAAGGCUCUCUUUAAGGGUUAAUAACAGAAAACUUCGACUUACAAAUAAUUCUUUUUAUCAUUAAAUUUACAUCUACGAGUGUUUGAGCAUGAAAUUAUUAGUCAGUAACUCAAUAGGUGAACUUGGGUGCUCACCUGAUAAUGCAGGAGUUUAGUGUUGCACACAGGGGCGAUGUAGGAGGCUAUAUGGGCUAUAGCCUAGACAAGUUUUGGGCCAAAAAAAUCCCAACUGAUUUAAAUCUAUUUGUCAUCAGCCCAUACCAUAGUAGCUUAAACCCUUGAUUUUUUUUGGUCGUGAAAAUAGAAUGAAACCGCUUAAACCCUUGUUGAAUCCUCGAAUGAAAACUAAACCGAAUCAAGAAUGGCCACUUCAACUGUUGCCAGAUCCAUUUUCCGUUUAUGCGCCGGCCGAAGUUGCGCCUCUAAAGCAUAAGCUGCUCACUCAGCGUUUCACAUCGGAGCCAAGAAACCUACAUCAUGUCUAGCUCUCAGGUGAUCAAGCAAAGAUUAGAGCAUGUUUUGUAUUAGCAUUCAUAGAUUUUGUGAAAUUGGAUUUGAGUUGUGGUGGUUGUUGUUGUAGGUGUCCGGUUGAAUUGAGCUUCUGUGUGGAAUCAAUGCUGCCUUACCACACUGCCACUGCUACGGCUUUAAUGACUUCCAUGCUUUCGGUCACUCAACGCAGUCACGGUUGGCUUCCAGAGACUAUUAUGAUGCAACUGUGAAUUAAGUAAAUUAAGCAUUCCUUUCUUUUGUUUCAAUAGGACAAUGCAAGGUUUUCUGUAUGGUUUGAACCCAAGUUCGAAAUCGAACCGUGUACAUAACAUAAAAUUCCUCUGUCUUAUUUUCCUUGGUAAAACUAUCAAAGGACCAUGGACUGGACAAAUGGGACCACUUCUUAUCCAAAUGGGACAAAUGGGACCAUGGAUGUAUAAAACUAGCUACUUCCUUAACUGUUAAAUAUUGUUCUUGAUUCUCAUGCUGCUAGGAUAUUCUGAGAUUUGCAUAUUUUGAGUGUCAAGCAGUCUUGUGUCAUUAUGUUCAUCAAAGACUUACUUGUGUGUGUUAGAUGCCUAACCCAUGGAGUUUCAUUCUUUGAAUCAAGUAUCUAGCAAACAUUUGUAGGGUUUCUUGAUGGCAUUGCCUUCUAACUUUCUGGUAAGAACAUUUGAAUGUUUCUUGAUAUCGUUGCCUGCCUUCUACUUUUCAUGUAAGGUAGUGGAUAUUAUGUUGGGUGUGAGAUGUCUGAUAUUUUUGGAUUAGAAUUGUGAGCUCCUAGUCAUAUGACAUGCAUUUCUUCUUUGCCUUCGUAUGAAUUUGUUAGGUACUGAUAACUGAAGCUGGCUGAAAUUUAUGCCCUUUCUCUCUAGAAUUACUGGUUCACUUUCCUUUUUAAUGACCAAGUGAAUUUGAUGAAAAGAGUAGCAAAUUGACAGAUUUAAUAGUUAGAGUAACAAAUUAGUUGAUUAUGAAAAACUAGGGUAACAAAUUAGCUGAUUAUGAAAAGCUAAGGUAACAAAUUAGCUAAAAUGAAAGUUAGGAUAACAAAUUAACAAUUAUGCCAUUAUAUUUUUAUGAGAGUUGUAUGGUUUAGAGAUUGGAUUGUCUCUUUGAUUUUCUUACUCACACGGGUUAGUCUUCUCUGUAACUGUUUGUCCUUACUAGGGCUGGGCACAAAUCCCGUAAAUCCCGGUCCCGUCCCGGUCCCAUCCCGAUCCCGGCGGGAUUUGAAACUAAAAACACCGGUCCCGUCCUGUCCCGUCCCAUUAGAGAAACAAUGGGACGGGACGCGGGAUUGAAAUUUUGAGUCCCGUCAGACCCGUCCCGUCCCGUCUAACUUUUAAAAUUCAUAACUAAUUGUAGAAAAAUUAUUUUUGAGAGAUCCCAACUCUCAAAUGAUCUUUAAGAUGUCAUCUAUAACUUUCAUGAAGACACUAAACUCAUAUAACGAACCAAUUUGUACAGUUUUCGAAAAGAAGCCAACUGGUUCAAAUCUCAGAAUUUACUGAUAUAGACCCUAAAAUUUAAGAAACCAUAACUUAAUCUAGAAAAAUAGUUUUCACGUGAUUCAAAUUCUGGAAUGAACCUUAAGAUGUCUACUACAAAUCUUAUGAAGACACCAAGAUGAAGUUUCAAAUGCAACUGUAUGAUUUCCAGAAGAAACGAAACUGAUGCAGGAUGGCUGGGAUUGGGCUCGUCCCGUCUAACUUUCAAAAUUCAUAACUAAUUGUAGAAAACUUAUUUUUGAGAGAUUCCAACUCUCAAAUAAUCUUUAGGAUGUCUUCUUUAACUUUCAUGAGAACACUAAACUCACAUAACCAACCAAUUUCUACAGUUUUUGAAAAGAAGCCAACUGGUUCAAAAUCACAGAAUUGACAUGCAGAAUUUAUAGAUGCAGACCCUAAACUUAAAAAAAUCAUAACUUAAUCUAGAAAAAUCAUUUUCAAGUGAUUCAAAUUCUGGAAUGGACAUUAAGAUGUCUACUACAAAUCUUAUGAAGACACCUAGAUGAAAUUUCAAAUGUAACUGUACGAUUUCUAGAAGAAAAGAAACUGAUGCAGGAUGGCCGGGAUUGGGCCCGUCCCAUCCCGAUCCCGUCCCGUCCCAUUCGGGACUAGGCCCGGCGGGAUCAAGUCUGAAAAAUAUAAGGCCCGUCCCGAUCCCGUCCCAUGUGUAACAAACGGGACAGGACGUGGGAUGACCUCAAUCCCGUCCCGUCCCAUGCCCACCCCUAGUCCUUGCUACCAAUUUUAUCUCGUAUUUGAAUAGACAAAUCAACUCAUCAAAAAUAUCAAUUUCUUCUUCAGUCAUACAAGUCCAGAAUUUAAAAGACGCUCCACUUUUUCCGGAGCAGCAUACCGAAGCCUAGGUUCCCUUAGGUUUUGUGCAGCAUGGUGGCGGUGGCUCAACGGGUCAUCUGUUUGCUACAAGGCGUGUUCGGCACUGGGUCUUGUCGGCAAGAGGAGGAGGAGGUGGAGUUUGAUUAUAUCAGUUCUUUGGCUUUCCGGUUGGGGACGUGGGAGGCGACGUUGGUCUUUCUCGGUUUUGUUUUGCAGGAAAGAGCGCGGCGGCGGCAAGCAAAGGGUUAAUUGCAAAGGCAAGGAAGGUUGCUGCUUCAGGGUUUAGGUCUUUGAUCUACAGCGGCUUAGAAGCUGUGAAAGAGGGUGGAGGAAGAAGGUCUGUGUCUUAGUGGUAAUUGGAUCCGACUCGGCAGCCUUUUGUGGUGGUCAUCUAGGGUUCAUGAUAUCACCGCCUCAAAGGAUCCGGUGGCCAGCGGCUCUGACGUCUAUUCGUCUCAGGGCUAGGUUGACUGGGUUAGAGGAGAGGUUGGUUGGGCUUUGGGCCUUGUCUCACUGGGCUGCAUUUGUGUGGGCUGGUGUGAUGGGGCUUGGGGCCUUAAUUAACUUUCUCAUUCUUUCCUCAUGUGAUUGGGUCUAGCUUGUGAUUGGUUUUUGUGGGAGUCACAUCUCUAUCUUAUACGGCUGUUUAGAUUGAAGCUAUUUACUGAUUGGAUGGAGUGGAAAUGUACACCAAUGGAGGUCUUAGGCGUCAUACUCUUCAGGAUGGAUGCUUUGCCCUACAACAAUAUAGGAGUCGAGGUUUUUCUGUUUUCAUGUGUCCGUCUUUUUGGACUUUAGUUUUAGUAGUCUUUAUGUUUAUUUUUUUGAUGUAGCUUUGAAGUUGUUCUUUCAAUUCGUAGUUUUGAAUUAAGUUAUAUUUUGUGUUUGAGUAGUCCUUGGAUUACUCGUGCAUUGACAUUUUUUGGUCGUUAUAGGCUGUAAGCCUAAUGGAUUUAGUUCCAUUUCCCUAAAAUAAAAAAAAAAUAAAAAAAUCAACUCAUCAAAAUUGCAAAUUAAACUGCGGGCUCAUAGUAGAAAACAGACGGCCCAAAAUAGCAAAGCCUCAGCCAAGAAAUUUGCUGCUCGUUUACUAUUUACUAUUUACCUUUUCUUUUUUAAGUUAUACUAUAUAAAACGAAAGAUUGCUGGGACCAUUUUACCCUCGCUGGCUCUUGCUUGCCACCUGUUUCUUCCGCCUAGCCGCCACCGCUGAAGGCACAAACAGAGAAAUUAAAAGGAGUCCUCUUGGUCUGAUCGCUCUGUUUCUCUUCACUUUCUUAUAUUGGGUUCAUCAAAGGCAGGUGUUUUUGGGUUUCUGUGUUUGUGUUUUUGGUUUUCUUAAUUCAUGCUCUUCUAAUUCAAUUGUAUUUGUGUUUUGAUAUUACCAAUAUAAUCAGUUGGAGUUGCAACUGCUAGAGUUGAAUCAAAUUUCUGCUCAUGGGUUUCUACUUUGUGUACUGUGCAUGAUAUGUUUGUUGGUUAUUACUGUCUGUUUCCUUGGUCCAAUCAAGACGUGAUUAGUGGCAUUCAAUAUUAGUAUGAACUAGAACAUAAAUUUGAUUUAUUGCCAGUAUGAGGUUAAGGGAUCUGUAGAGAGAAGUCAUAGUUAAGGCAUCACCCUGGACUGUUAUUCUCUCGGCGUCAUGAGAAUCUCUAGCACCAGUCACCAAAGUUAUAUGCAUCUGAUUUCUCUGAAAGCACACCUCUAUUUGCAUACUCAGGUAAAAAGUUUUCCCUACAUUAUGGAUAUUGUCAUUAUUAGAUCAAGAAACAUUUGACACAAGUGAAAUGUAGGGAUGAAUGUUAUGUUUCAUCAAAUAAACCUUACUCAUAUUUUGGAUGUUUCAUCAAAUAAACCUUUUUGGCAACGGCUUUGCUGUUAGUUGCUGUAUUGCUCAUGAAUUGUCUGGCCAAACCAAAAUCUGAGAUAUUGGGAAUCAUGUCUUCAUCUAGCAAAAUGUUGCUUGCUGAUAGGUCUCAGUAUAUAAUUCUUAGUCAAGAAUCUCGGUGGAGGUAGAGAACCACGUGCAAUGGCCUUGAUAAUCAUGAAACAUGUACUCCAAUCUAGUAGGACUUGCUUCCUUGGGUCUGUCAUUUCAUGAAAAGCGAGAUGUUUAGAAAAAGUAAUUCACAUGGCAUAUAAAUUUGAACUAGUUGUAUUGACAAUAGAACCACAUACCGAAAAGAAAUGAAUUCAAGCUCUUAUUUGGCAUGAAUUCAUAAAGCAACAUCUUUCCUUCGCCGUGUAUGCAGUAACCUAAUAGUCUAACUGGAUUCCUGUGUUGUAAUUUUGCAAUCAGACAGAUCUCAUUAUUGAACUCCUCCAAGCCUUAGUAUGACCCUUUUGAAAGUCUCUUCACAGCUACUUCUUCUUGCCAGAAGCUCAAGGGUUUUGCUAACCAGUGUGAAGUUGAGUUCUAUGUUUCUUUUUGUUCUUCUUCUAGAUUGCUAUGAAUUACCAACGUUUGUGCUAUUUAUAAUUAGUUGAGAAGCUUUUGAUGUAUGUGGGGAGACCCUUUUAUUUGUAGCUGUGGGAAUUUGUCAUUUUUGGGGAGCAUGUAAAAUAUUGGAUAUUAUGCUUCAGAGGUUUUUUGGUUGUCCAGUUUAGGGGUAUUUAUGUCAGUUGUAUGGUGAAAUUUCUCUUAAAGGUACCCUUUACAACGUCACGUUAGAUUUUAGAGUUAAUUUGGGGCUGGUGAUGUUAACAUGGUAUCACAGCAUUAUGUUUAUUAAUUUCAUGGACUCAAUUUGUUUAAAAUUUUUGUUGGUUUUUAUGCUCUGUAAUAAUCAAUACUCACUCUUGAGAUGACCCGGCCGCAUUGGUUCCCCAUCAUAUACUCUUUGGUGUUGGUAUAGUUAUCAUGUGUGUAAGGAUGAUAGACAUGUAGAUGCUUAACUUUUGUGUGUUUUUCCCCUAAGUUGCCUAAGUUUUGUUUUCUCUCAGGUUCUACCUCGUAGAUGUUGACCUUGUUAGGAUACUCCUCUUGUAGUCGAGGUCACAAGUAACUACAUCUCAGUUGGUUUGCCUAAAGCAGCAGGUUCUAGAGUGUAUGUCGCUACAUUCAGGCAUUUGUUCUGAUUACAGUAUGGAGGAUGUCAAAUGGCUCAGAGCUGAGACUUAUGGCAUUGAUCCUGCUGUGGCUGAAAGUGUGAUCCCCGGACUUGAGUUUGAGUCCUUCAAUUUGAGGCAGGGUGACAUGACAGUGUUGGAAUAUGGGCGGCUUUUCAAUAGAUCAUAUCAUUUUGCAUCUCCCUUGGUGGCUAAUGAGAGGGAUAAAAUCCACAAGUUUCUACAAGGAUUAAGACAUGAACUCCGUGAUAUGUUAGUGGUUACCUUAUUUACUGAGUUCAGUCAAGUAUUUUUGGCCGCCAUGAAAUAUGAGGAUAGGCUUUUGGAAUGUGUACAACCAUUGGAGGUGGGUAGCCAGGGUCCUUCCGAGAAGGCUAGUACUAGUUCGAGUUCCGCAGCUUUAACAUGCAUUAGACCUGAAAAUUCAAGACCUGGCUCACUAAAAAGAAGACGUGAGCGGAGGCGGAGCAUUCUGAAGCGCCAUAAGAAAAAGACCAAUCAGUCUGGGGGCAGUGUUGCAAGUUCCGCGGCUUUAACAUGCAUUAGACCUGAAAAUUCAAGACCCGGCUCACUAAAAAGAGGACGUGAGCGGAGGUGGAGCAUUCUGAACCGCCGUAAGAAAAAGACCAAUCAGUCUGGGGGCAGUGUUGGCGGUAAUAGUAGAGCUCCUGUUCAGGGAGACCGUCCACAGUGUCAGAGAUGUAGCAGAUACCAUGAUGGACAGUGCCAAGUGGGACUACAAAU